rfam:Listeria monocytogenes EGD-e, complete genome
AACAAAGUGAUGAAAAGGACAACCAAUUUAACGGAAAAUUUUAGAGAGGAAGGGUUAGCUGGGAACCUUCUAUUGGAACUUAAAUUUGGACCACCUUGGAACUUCUAUUAGGAACGUGUUUAACUAGUAAUAAUAGACGGAUCGCUCCGUUAUAAGCGACAAGAGUGAAGUAGUUAUUUUUAGCUAUUUCUGAAUCUUGGGUGGAACCACGAGCAUAAACUCGUCCCUUGA